AACGAACGCUGGCGGCAGGCCUAACACAUGCAAGUCGAGCGCCCCGCAAGGGGAGCGGCGGACGGGUGAGUAACACGUGGGAAUUUUCCUCAAGGUACGGAACAACUCAGGGAAACUUGGGCUAAUACCGUAUGAUGCAGAGAUGCCAAAGAUUUAUCGCCUUGGGAUAAGCCCGCGUCAGAUUAGGUAGUUGGUGGGGUAAUGGCCUACCAAGCCUGUGAUCUGUAGCUGGUCUGAGAGGACGAUCAGCCACAUUGGGACUGAGACACGGACCCGACUCCUACGGGAGGCAGCAGUAAGGAAUAUUGGUCAAUGGAGGGAACUCUGAACCAGCCAUGCCGCGUGAAGGAUGACGGCCCUCUGGGUUGUAAACUUCUUUUGGAUGGGGCGAAAAAACGGGAUUUAUCCUGGACUGACGGUACCAUCAGAAUAAGCACCGGCUAACUCCGUGCCAGCAGCCGCGGUAAGGUAGAUGAGU
rnacentral:rRNA from 1 species